CCUACGGGUGGCAGCAGUGAGGAAUAUUGGUCAAUGGGCGGAAGCCUGAACCAGCCAAGUAGCGUGCAGGAUGACGGCCCUACGGGUUGUAAACUGCUUUUAUACGGGAAUAACGCGCCUUACGUGUAGGGCUUUGCAUGUACCGUAUCAAUAAGGACCGGCUAAUUCCGUGCCAGCAGCCGCGGUAAUACGGAAGGUCCGGGCGUUAUCCGGAUUUAUUGGGUGUAAGGGGAGCGCAGGCCGCAUGUCAAGCGUGCUGUGAAAUGUCCGGGCUCAACCCGGGCCUUGCAGCGGGAACUGGAUGGCUUGAGUCCGCGGAGGGCAGGCGGAAUUCGUCGUGUAGCGGUGAAAUGCUUAGAUAUGACGAGGAACCCCGAUUGCGAAGGCAGCUUGCUGCAGCGGAACUGACGCUGAUGCUCGAAGGCGCGGGGAUCGAACAGGAUUAGAUACCCCUGUAGUC
rnacentral:rRNA from 1 species